AACCACAUCAACCGGAAGGGUUCCUUCCGGUUGAUGAGGUUGUUACACCUCAUCGACUGGAAGGAAUCCCUUCUGGUUGAUGAGGUU
rnacentral:miRNA from 1 species